rnacentral:pre_miRNA from 1 species
GUGUGAAUCACAGGGCGCUUCUCCCUUGGCAUGGACACGGUGGCAUGCAUGUACCGAUGAGUGUACGGUGCAGCUUGCUGGCAAGCCGUGCGUGCCAAAGGAGAAUUGCCCUGCCAUUUGCCU